UACGGGGGGGGCAAGCGUUGUUCGGAAUUACUGGGCGUAAAGGGCGCGUAGGCUGUGCUGUAAGUCAGGCGUGAAAGCCCCGGGCUCAACCUGGGAAUUGCGCUUGAUACUGCGGCGCUGGAAGGUGGGAGAGGAUGGCGGAAUUCCCAGUGUAGAGGUGAAAUUCGUAGAUAUUGGGAAGAACACCGGUGGCGAAGGCGGGUCUCUGGGCCGAUACUGACGCUGAGGAGCGAAAGCGUGGGGAGCAAACAGG
rnacentral:rRNA from 1 species